rnacentral:rRNA from 1 species
AAACUGAGGAUAAUACUGGAUAGGCAAUUAUUCCUGCAAUGGUUUUUUGUUUAAAUGUUUUUUCGCCUAAGGAUGGGUCUGCGGCCGAUUAGGUAGUUGGUUAGGUAAUGGCUUACCAAGCCGUUGAUCGGUACGGGUUGUGAGAGCAAGAGCCCGGAGAUGGAACCUGAGACAAGGUUCCAGGCCCUACGGGGUGCAGCAGGCGCGAAACCUCCGCAAUGUGAGAAGUCGCGACGGGGGGAUCCCAAGUGCCAUUCUUAACGGGAUGGCUUUUCAUUAGUGUAAAGAGCUUUUGGAAUAAGGGCUGGGCAAGACCGGUGCCAGCCGCCGCGGUAACACCGGCAGCUCUAGUGGUAGCAGUUUUUAUUGGGCCUAAAGCGUCCGUAGCCGGUUUAAUAAGUCUCUGGUGAAAUCCUGUAGCUUAACUGUGGGAAUAGCUGGAGAUACUAUUAGACUUGAGACCGGGAGAGGUUAGAGGUACUCCCAGGGUAGAGGUGAAAUUCUGUAAUC